rnacentral:lncRNA from 1 species
GCUAGUUUGGUCUUUUUUUUUUUUUUUUGUUUCGCUGACAAUGCUUUUGCUUUACUUUUUUUUUUUUUUUUUUUUUUUUUUUUUUUUUUUUUUUUUUUUUUUUUUUUUUUUUUUUUUUUUUUUUUUUUUUUUUUUUUUUUUUUUUUUUUUCAGUCUUUUUUCGUCAUCGCUACCUUUGUCGUCGCUACCUUUGUCGUCGCUACCUUUGUCGUCGCUACCUUUUUCAUCGUCACUACCUUUUUCAUUUUCGCUCCUAUUUUCAUCAUCACUACUGUUUUCAUCGUCACUCUUAUCCCUUUUUUUUUUUUUUUUUUUUUUU